rnacentral:lncRNA from 1 species
AUGACUUCUACCAAGAUUCUGCUGCUCUUGCUGUCAACAGUUUUGCUGGCCUUGGGCUCUGCUCAGGCCAUCGAUGACAAAGCCCUUCAAAAGGAAGAGGAUACACCCCAAUUAGUAGAUGAUGAACUAUUUGAAGAAAACUCAGAGGAAUCACAAGUAAAACCUCAAGAAGAAAAUGGAGAUCAGAAUGGCAAGCCAGGCAAAGAGGAAGACAAAGGCAAUGGACAAAAGCAGAGGCCUCAUGACCAGAGUGUCCAGGGAGUCCUUGGAAGCCUAUUUAGCAGAGGUGGCCCACAUCACCCUAGUGGCCAACAGGGCCCAGGAGGCCAACAGGGUUCAGGUGGUCAACAAGCCCAGGUGGUCAACAGGGCCCAGGUGGCCAACACUGUCCAGGUGGCCAACAGGGCCCAGGUAGCCAAGGUGGUCAAGGAAGCCAAUAGGGUCCAGGUGGCCAACAGGGCCCAGGUGACCAACACCGUCCAGGUGGCCAAGGUGGUCAAGGAAGCCAACAGGGUCCAGGUGGCCAACAGGGUCCAGGUGGCCAAGGUGGUCAAGGAAGCCAACAGAGUCCAGAAGGCCAACAAGGUCCUGGUGGUCAACAUGGCCCAGGUAGCCUAGGUGGUCAAGGAAGCCAACAGGGUCCAGGUGGCCAGCAGGGCUCAGGUGGCCAAAGAGACCAGCAGGGAAGAAAUGACUAGCAUGGUCAACAUGGUGGCCAGUGACUAGGAAAACCAACUAAAGAAGACCUCCUUCAAUUCUCUAGGUAUUAAUUCUAUUCGUACUAAUCUAGUAAGAUAGUAAUUUCUUUUGAUAUUUCCUAAUAUCUCUUCUUGUUUCUUCCACUCAGAGUUUUUUUGUUUUGUUAUAUUUUGACUCCCUCAUUCUUAUAUUGGCCUACAGCCUUCCCAAGUUUUACCUCCCUUCCCCUCUUCCUCUUGUCUCCUGUGUUCCCUUCCCUUUACUCUCUCCUGGCCUCCUCCUCUCAUCCUGCUUCUUCUGUUCUCUCUUAACAUGAUAUCCUGUCAUGUCCUCUAGUACCCACUAGUAGAAAUACUGACAUAGAUCAUGUCCAGGUCAAAUUAAUAUUUCUGUCUAAAAUUCUUCUCUUUGUCUUAGAAAUUGAGAGAGAUGAACUGGUGACCAUGGAGUUUUCAGUCAUGUCAACGUGGCCUUUCCUUUCUCUGACUUCAAAUCAUCAAUAAAGUCAUUAGCAUUAAAGUUCUGGCUAUUGUUUUUCUUCUAAGUUCAUGAUUCUUAGGGUAUAAGAAGGCCAAGUUGGGAGAUACAAGCCCUGAAGGACUCCAAAUGUUGUGCAUUAUGCAGCUUUAUGCAGCUCUGAUUUUAAUAUUUUGUGGGGACUUAACUCCCACCAAUAUUACAAAACAGAAACAUUUUUUUCUUGAGACCAGUAAGGGGGUUUGCCAAUUUCAGUUGACCAAUACUACCCUUUUCUUAGCUUAAACACAGAGAGAAUUACCUCAUAAUUUCCAUUGACUUCUGGUAGUCCUUCGAUGUACGUGUGUUCUAUUGUGAGGUGAGGGUGUGUAGAAGGGGAAACAUUGUGCAUUGUUGGUGGGAAUGUACACCAGUGCCAUGGCUAUUGAACACAGCAUGGAGGUUCCUCGAAAAAUGACAAAGAGAACUGCAAUACAAUCCAGCACUUCCACUUCUGGGUAUUUAUUCAAAGAAAAUGAAAACACUAUUUUGUAAAGAGACAUGCACCCCUAAUGUUCAUGGCAGCAUUAUUCACAAUAGGCAAGCUAUCGAAGUAGCCUACAUGUCCAUGAGUAGAUGAAUGGAUAAAGAAGAUGUGGUGUGUAUACACAAUGGAAUAUUACUCAGCCAUAAAAAGGAAGGAAAUCUUGCUAUUUUCGACAACACAUGGAUCUAGAGAGUAUAAUGUUGAGUCAAAUAAGUCAGUCAGAGACAAACACCAUAUGAUUUCAUACAUACGUGAAAUCUAAAAGCCAAAAUAAAUGAGCCAACAGAACAAAACAAAAACAGACUUGCAGAUACAGAGAACUAAUGAUCCAGUGCUUUCCAGAAGGCAGAGGGAGGGAGGAUGGGCAAAAUAGGAUCAAAAAGCAGAUUAAAAGGUAUGACAUACAUUUAUAAGUGUAUAAAUAAGAUACAGGGAUACACCAUACACAUAAGGAAUGCAGUUAAUAAUGUGUAACUUUUUUGUAUGUUGAUAGAUGAUAGCUAGAUUUUUCUUGAUGAUCCUUCACAGUGUAUAGAAAUGUUCAAUCACUAUGUUGUACAUCUGAAAAUAAUAUAAUAUUGUAGGUCAACUAUGCUUCAAUUUUUUUGAGAGAGAAAUGUGACUGGGAGAAAAGAAAAAGAAAAAUAAACAGGGAAAAUGUGGACACACAAGUGUACACAGGAAGAUAAAGCCACACAAGUGGCCAUGCGAAGAUAAAGCCAGAGAUCAGGGCAAUGUAGCAGAAGCUAAGGAACAUUAAAGAUUGCCAGCAAACAACCAGGGGCUGUGAGAAAGGCCUGGAACAGAUUCUUCCUGAGAGCCCUCAGACUGAACCAACACCUUAGUCUUGGCCUUCUGGUCUCCAGAACUGUUAAUAAAUAAAUUUCUGUCAUUUAAGUCACUCACUUUGUACUACUCUGUUACACUUAAUCCAUCUACCUCUGAAGCCUCUGAGUGGAAAGCCACAGAAAGAGGGUUUCCAGAGAAGCAUCCCUCACUUGGGAAGGGGGUCCAUAGAGACAGGCUAGGAAGGUGAAGCACCUUCCUAGGUGAAGCACCAGAAGUCCUUGUUUCUCGAGUGUCAAAAUGUGACAAUCCCUGUGGCAGCUCACACAUGGAAAUGCAGGUUGCCCCACAAGGCUGACAUUAAAAAUCAGGAUGGGAUAAAAAAGAAGGUUGUAGUGGACAAUGCUAAGAAGAAUAUAAGUAGUUUGCCUUCAGUAUGAGUAUUAGUGAAGAAUUUACAGGUUACGAUAACAGACACAAAGUAAAAAUGUUCAAUUCUGUUUAUUCCCACACUUCCUGCCAGGUUCAGUUCUGAAAUCAGACCUAGAACUGACCUUCUCUUUGGAAGCAGAAUCAAUAUCUGGUCGUUCUGGCAUUCUCAGUAUCAUGAUAGACUUACUAUACAAUUUUGGAAGUAAUGUGAUUAUUCUGCAGGUGGAGUUGGGUACCUUGCACAAAGCAACAUAUGUGAAGAUAUGUAAACCUGAGGGUAGAAACAUCUGAAAGUAACUUCAGGGAGGAUUCAAGGAUAAGUGAGCAGCUUUCUCUUUACUCUGCAAACAGGGUAGGAGUCCCAGCUGCAAUAUUUUUCAAUUUACCAUCAUUUACUAAAAGCACAGAGGAAAAAAAACAUAAAAGAUAAAAACCUACAAGCCUCAUGAUAACACUAGUUACUAAAGAUAAUUGAAAAUAACUUACUAAAUAAUGAGCUUCUAUCAUUUCAAUCCAAAUAUUGGGCAGCAAAGCUCAUAGUCUUGUAUCCGAAUCAGUACAGUUUUGCAUAAUGCAAGAGUAUUGAACAGGCAAGGUCACUCACAAAUGACCUGGCAUGCUUUGUUUUCAGAAAGAGAUCCCCAAAAUUGUCUUUCCUAGUUAAAAACUGCAUGCCUAGCAAUAUUAUCUUCAGUUCAGACCUCUAGUCCCCAUUUCUUCUCCCCUCACAUUACUUGGAAGACCUGUUUCCCAGCCCACUGGAAGGAAUUUCCUGUUUGCUCACAUUAAAAUCAAGUACUCCUUGGGAGUACUUCUGAAGGUACUCCUCCUCCUAAAAUACAGCUUUAUAUUAAAAGUUAUAUCCCAGUCUGAAGUAUUUGCAAAGAAAUGAUCGGGCUACUCCUACUCUCCAAAAAUGUCUUUGUUGCCGAUAGAAUCGAUCACAAAUUCAGUUUGACAUUCACAACAUUCUUCACAAUCUGGAACUAACCCACAUCUGAGCUUUAUCUUCUUAUAUUCUCUUCAAUCUUACUGGAUCAUUCAGUGUUCCUAGACCAUUGAAAAUACUAUACUACAUACAUAGGGUUAGCCAUGCUUUUCACUUUGCCUUCUUCCACACUGCUCUCCAAAGGUACAGCUGCCACGGCAUCUCCUUCCUGUAUGAAACUUUCCUUUCUCCCCUGCUCUGAACUUUGAAAAUUGCUUCUUUUGCCACUUUUCCAAUAGUGAUCAUCAUUAUGUCAAAGCUAAAUCUCCCAUGAGAUCUUGCAUCCUCUAAGGACAGGAACAAUGAAUGUUUCAUAUACCUUCAUGUCACCAGUACUAUUUAAGGACAAUGAAAAAGACAAUGCAGAAGCUGUUGUUUUGCAGACUUUUGACCUUGGGGUCAAAAUUAUACGGUUUUGACCUUGGGGUCUUAAUUAUACGGUUCUAACUGAACAGAGA